rnacentral:rRNA from 1 species
UGCAGUCGAACGGCAGCACAGCCAGUAGCAAUACUGUGGGUGGCGAGUGGCGGACGGGUGAGUAAUGCAUCGGGACCUGCCCAGACGUGGGGGAUAACGUAGGGAAACUUACGCUAAUACCGCAUACGUCCUACGGGAGAAAGCGGGGGAUCGAAAGACCUCGCGCGGUUGGAUGGACCGAUGUUCGAUUAGCUAGUUGGUGAGGUAAUGGCUCACCAAGGCGACGAUCGAUAGCUGGUCUGAGAGGAUGAUCAGCCACACUGGGACUGAGACACGGCCUAGACUCCUACGGGAGGCAGCAGUGGGGAAUAUUGGACAAUGGGCGAAAGCCUGAUCCAGCAAUGCCGCGUGUGUGAAGAAGGCCUUCGGGUUGUAAAGCACUUUUAUCAGGAGCGAAAUACUGCCGGCUAAUACCCGGCGGGGCUGACGGUACCUGAGGAAUAAGCACCGGCUAACUUCGUGCCAGCAGCCGCGGUAAUACGAAGGGUGCAAGCGUUAAUCGGAAUUACUGGGCGUAAAGCGUGCGUAGGCGGUUCUUUAAGUCUGCUGUGAAAUCCCCGGGCUCAACCUGGGAAUGGCAGUGGAUACUGGAGAGCUAGAGUGUGAUAGAGGAUGGUGGAAUUCCCGGUGUAGCGGUGAAAUGCGUAGAGAUCGGGAGGAACAUCAGUGGCGAAGGCGGCCAUCUGGAUCAACACUGACGCUGAGGCACGAAAGCGUGGGGAGCAAACAGGAUUAGAUACCCUGGUAGUCCACGCCCUAAACGAUGCGAACUGGAUGUUGGUCUCAACUCGGAGAUCAGUGUCGAAGCUAACGCGUUAAGUUCGCCGCCUGGGGAGUACGGUCGCAAGAC